rnacentral:ncRNA from 1 species
GCGGAUCCAAUGAUGGAGAGAAGUAGUCUUGACCCACAUGGAAAGAGAGGGAAUGCCCCGGAUGAAAGCAUUCCUCCAUGAUGGCAAGACGAAAGACACUCCGGAGGAUGGUCCCCGAAAGAAAGCCCUUUUUGAGUAGGGGAUUCACGCGGGCAGGCGUUAGCUGCGGAAGCGGAAAAAGACUCGGGGAAGUCUUUUUCAAUUAGGGUGGCACCGCGGGUAUUUUUGCUCGUCCCUGAU